UGAACGGAGUCUCACUAGACAUCAAAAUGAUGGACGAAAACAAAGUGAGAGACCCUCUGGAGCUCUAAGGCCUGCUUCACGCAUGCAGGCGGACUAAGGUCAGCUAAAAGAGAACCACAGGUCUUGAGUUAUUAUGCCGAAAAAACUAAGGGCAUGGAAGGAACCUAAACGAUGGUUGAUGAUGUGAGUGGUCACGACCCUGGCCCGAACUGGAAG
rnacentral:lncRNA from 1 species